rnacentral:rRNA from 1 species
UCGAGAAUCUUUCGCAAUGCCCGAAAGGGUGACGAAGCGACGCCGCGUGUGGGAAGAAGGCCUUCGGGUUGUAAACCACUGUCGGGAGUUAAGAAAUGCAAGGGUGUUAAUAGCAUCC